GAAAGGCUUCGGCCGGACAGGGAUGGGCAUGCGGCGCAUUAGGCAGUAGGCGGGGUAACGGCCCACCUAACCGACGAUGCGUAGGGGUUCUGAGAGGAAGGUCCCCCACACUGGUACUGAGACACGGACCAGACUCCUACGGGAGGCAGCAGUGAGGAAUAUUGGUCAAUGGUCGGGAGACUGAACCAGCCAAGCCGCGUGAGGGAUGAAGGUACAGAGUAUCGUAAACCUCUUUUGUCAGGGAACAAAGGCGGGGACGUGUCCCCGGAUGAGUGUACCUGAAGAAAAAGCAUCGGCUAACUCCGUGCCAGCAGCCGCGGUAAUACGGAGGAUGCGAGCGUUAUCCGGAUUUAUUGGGUUUAAAGGGUGCGCAGGCGGUCUGUUAAGUCAGCGGUCAAAGCCCGGGGCUCAACCCCGGCCCGCCGUUGAAACUGGCAGUCUCGAGUUGGAGAGAAGUAUGCGGAAUGCGCGGUGUAGCGGUGAAAUGCAUAGAUAUCGCGCAGAACUCCGAUUGCGAAGGCAGCAUGCCGGCUCCACACUGACGCUGAGGCACGAAAGCGUGGGUAUCGAACAGGAUUAGAUACCCUGGUAGUCCACGCAGUAAACGAU
rnacentral:rRNA from 1 species